rnacentral:rRNA from 1 species
UACGGAGGGUGCGAGCGUUGUCCGGAAUCACUGGGCGUAAAGGGCGCGUAGGUGGCGGAGCAAGUCAACGGUGAAAGCUCGACGCUCAACGUCGAGUCGGCCGUCGAGACUGCUUUGCUCGAGCACUGUAGAGGCAGAUGGAAUUCCGGGUGUAGCGGUGGAAUGCGUAGAGAUCCGGAAGAACACCGGUGGCGAAGGCGG